GGGUUGUGAGGUUAAGCGACUAAGCGUACACGGUGGAUGCCCUGGCAGUCAGAGGCGAUGAAGGGCGUGCUAAUCUGCGAUAAGCGCCGGUAAGGUGAUAUGAACCGUUAUAACCGGCGAUACCCGAAUGGGGAAACCCAGUGUGACUCGUCACACUAUCAUUAACUGAAUCCAUAGGUUAAUGAGGCGAACCGGGGGAACUGAAACAUCUAAGUACCCCGAGGAAAAGAAAUCAACCGAGAUUCCCCCAGUAGCGGCGAGCGAACGGGGAGGAGCCCAGAGCCUGAAUCAGCAUGUGUGUUAGUGGAAGCGUCUGGAAAGGCGCGCGAUACAGGGUGACAGCCCCGUACACAAAAGCGCAUGUGCUGUGAGCUCGAUGAGUAGGGCGGGACACGUGGUAUCCUGUCUGAAUAUGGGGGGACCAUCCUCCAAGGCUAAAUACUCCUGACUGACCGAUAGUGAACCAGUACCGUGAGGGAAAGGCGAAAAGAACCCCGGCGAGGGGAGUGAAAAAGAACCUGAAACCGUGUACGUACAAGCAGUGGGAGCACCCUUUGGGGUGUGACUGCGUACCUUUUGUAUAAUGGGUCAGCGACUUAUAUUCUGUAGCAAGGUUAACCGUAUAGGGGAGCCGGAGGGAAACCGAGUCUUAAUUGGGCGUUAAGUUGCAGGGUAUAGACCCGAAACCCGGUGAUCUAGCCAUGGGCAGGUUGAAGGUUGGGUAACACUAACUGGAGGACCGAACCGACUAAUGUUGAAAAAUUAGCGGAUGACCUGUGGCUGGGGGUGAAAGGCCAAUCAAACCGGGAGAUAGCUGGUUCUCCCCGAAAGCUAUUUAGGUAGCGCCUCGUGAAUUCAUCUCCGGGGGUAGAGCACUGUUUCGGCUAGGGGGCCAUCCCGGCUUACCAACCCGAUGCAAACUGCGAAUACCGGAGAAUGUUAUCACGGGAGACACACGGCGGGUGCUAACGUCCGUCGUGAAGAGGGAAACAACCCAGACCGCCAGCUAAGGUCCCAAAGUCAUGGUUAAGUGGGAAACGAUGUGGGAAGGCCCAGACAGCCAGGAUGUUGGCUUAGAAGCAGCCAUCAUUUAAAGAAAGCGUAAUAGCUCACUGGUCGAGUCGGCCUGCGCGGAAGAUGUAACGGGGCUAAACCAUGCACCGAAGCUGCGGCAGCGACGCUUAUGCGUUGUUGGGUAGGGGAGCGUUCUGUAAGCCUGUGAAGGUGGCCUGUGAGGGUUGCUGGAGGUAUCAGAAGUGCGAAUGCUGACAUAAGUAACGAUA
rnacentral:rRNA from 1 species